rnacentral:snRNA from 1 species
AGAUGGAAAACUACCACACAAGCUAAUGUUACCACACUGACUACCAGUGUUGAUUUAGUCAAUCUGGCUGGUUAGGCAAAGGUCCCCUUCCUUCCUCACCACUCAGUCUGCAUCCCUCCUGAAGCUGCAAACUUGGUCAAAGAGGAUGACCUUCUCCAUAUAGAGAUGGAUGGUCAGGGUAUAUGAGAAGCUGAUCUCCCCUGCUAUAACCUCCAAAUAAGCUCUCAAACAUCACACUUCCUAAAAUGCCAGAAGCCAUUUCUCUGCUUGAUAGAAGCUAAGCCUUGAAACAACAGAAGCCCUCGAGAUAAGUUUCUAAUUCUC